UACGAAGGGGGCUAGCGUUGCUCGGAAUCACUGGGCGUAAAGGGCGCGUAGGCGGAUCUUUAAGUCAGGGGUGAAAGCCUGUGGCUCAACCACAGAAUUGCCUUUGAUACUGGGGAUCUCGAGACCGGAAGAGGUGAGUGGAACUGCGAGUGUAGAGGUGAAAUUCGUAGAUAUUCGCAAGAACACCAGUGGCGAAGGCGGCUCACUGGUCCGGUUCUGACGCUGAGGCGCGAAAGCGUGGGGAGCAAACAGG
rnacentral:rRNA from 1 species